AUAUCUACUAUCCAGUGACGAUAUUACAGCAAAAUGACCAACGAAGUAGAGUCCACUAUAUAGGAUACUCCCACAAAUUUGAUGAGUGGUUAGAGCGGGAUGCAAUUAAGGAGAGCAGAAGUACAUGUAUGAUAAACAGCUUUCUGCUACAGCAGCUGCAGAUCCAAAUUAAAGACCAGCUGUGCUCAUGUGGAAAGAAAGACACCCAUAAAGUUAUAAGGAUCCCUAUCAACGAGCAAAGUCUAGAGGAUGUUGGGAUGUUAAUAUCAAAGGCAGUAUUACACAAAG